AACACGGUUUUUUUCAAAACUAUUUUCUGUUACUUAUAUUAUUUAU
rnacentral:ncRNA from 1 species